UAGGGAAUCUUCCGCAAUGGACGCAAGUCUGACGGAGCAACGCCGCGUGAGUGAAGAAGGAUUUCGGUUCGUAAAACUCUGUUGUUAGAGAAGAACAGCGCAUAGAGUAACUGUUAUGCGUGUGACGGUAUCUAACCAGAAAGCCACGGCUAACUACGUGCCAGCAGCCGCGGUAAUACGUAGGUGGCAAGCGUUGUCCGGAUUUAUUGGGCGUAAAGCGAGCGCAGGCGGUCAAUUAAGUCUGAUGUGAAAGCCCCCGGCUCAACCGGGGAGGGUCAUUGGAAACUGGUUGACUUGUGUGCAGAAGAGGAGAGUGGAAUUCCAUGUGUAGCGGUGAAAUGCGUAGAUAUAUGGAGGAACACCGGUGGCGAAAGCGGCUCUCUGGUCUGUAACUGACGCUGAGGCUCGAAAGCGUGGGGAGCGAACAGG
rnacentral:rRNA from 1 species